UGCAGCUCUGCUGCUGGUGGCUCCAUAUCAGGAGCACCAGACUCCAGGGCUGCCUUGAGGUAAAGAGACUGGAGGGCUCAGUUUCAAUAAAUAAUACAUAGUCUCAGGUACAACGCACCUGCAAGUAUCUGCUGUGCAGCAUCAGGAGGUGGGCAUCGCUGUCUUCAUCUCUCCCAGACUCAGCAGGGCACCUGUUGUCUGUGCAGCCACUCUGGAAAAAGCUGGUAUCCUGACAACCAGGAACACCUUCCAAGCAAGAUGAAGAAAACCACGCCCAUAGUGAAUGACUCAUCUCACUCUGAAUCUCUGCUCAGCUGACCACCAGAUCCUGAGCCCUUCAGCAAUGCAGCUCACCAUGUUGGCUUCUUUCCUGAGACAUGGAAUCUCAAGGCAGUGUUAAGCCAUUCAGCACUGCAGUCUGGCCAGCCUGCAUAAAUCGCCUGCUCUCUUUCACAGCCUUCCCUGAAAAUAAAGCGACUGUACACAGACGGCGGCGGCGUAUGAAAAUAAAGCCAGGGCUUCCUCCGAGCCUUUCUGCUUGCAUAGCAGUGCAGUGUAUUUCAAUUAACAUCCAACCUUCUCCAACAGUGCUACUUCAGUAUCUGUAAGAGCCUGCCUUUUAGAAUUUAAUACUCAGACAGCCAUUUUGCAAAAAAUCC
rnacentral:lncRNA from 1 species